rnacentral:rRNA from 1 species
AUUGAACGCUGGCGGCAGGCCUACCACAUGCAAGUCGAACGAGUGGCGGAAGGGAGAGUAAUGUAUGGGAAACUGCCCGAUGGAGGGGGAUAACUACUGGAAACGGUAACUAAUAACGCAUACCAUCGGAUGUGCCGAGAUGGGAUUAGGUAGUGGGUGGGGUAACGGCUCACCUAGGCGACGAUCCCUAGAUGGUCUGAGAGGAUGAACAGCCACACUGGAACUGAGACACGGUCCAGACUCCUACGUGAGGCAGCAGUGGGGAAUAUUGCACAAUGGGCGAAAGCCUGAUGCAGCCAUGCCGCGUGUAUGAAGAAGGCCUUCGGGUUGUAAAGUACUUUUAGCGAGGAGGCGUUACUCGCAGAAGAAGCACCGGCUAACUCCGUGCCAGCAGCCGCGGUAAUAC